rnacentral:rRNA from 1 species
CCGGCGUGCCUAAUACAUGCAAGUCGAACGAACUCUGGUAUUGAUUGGUGCUUGCAUCAUGAUUUACAUUUGAGUGAGUGGCGAACUGGUGAGUAACACGUGGGAAACCUGCCCAGAAGCGGGGGAUAACACCUGGAAACAGAUGCUAAUACCGCAUAACAACUUGGACCGCAUGGUCCGAGUUUGAAAGAUGGCUUCGGCUAUCACUUUUGGAUGGUCCCGCGGCGUAUUAGCUAGAUGGUGGGGUAACGGCUCACCAUGGCAAUGAUACGUAGCCGACCUGAGAGGGUAAUCGGCCACAUUGGGACUGAGACACGGCCCAAACUCCUACGGGAGGCAGCAGUAGGGAAUCUUCCACAAUGGACGAAAGUCUGAUGGAGCAACGCCGCGUGAGUGAAGAAGGGUUUCGGCUCGUAAAACUCUGUUGUUAAAGAAGAACAUAUCUGAGAGUAACUGUUCAGGUAUUGACGGUAUUUAACCAGAAAGCCACGGCUAACUACGUGCCAGCAGCCGCGGUAAUACGUAGGUGGCAAGCGUUGUCCGGAUUUAUUGGGCGUAAAGCGAGCGCAGGCGGUUUUUUAAGUCUGAUGUGAAAGCCUUCGGCUCAACCGAAGAAGUGCAUCGGAAACUGGGAAACUUGAGUGCAGAAGAGGACAGUGGAACUCCAUGUGUAGCGGUGAAAUGCGUAGAUAUAUGGAAGAACCACCCAGUGGCGAAGGCGGCUGUCUGGUCUGUAACUGACGCUGAGGCUCGAAAGUAUGGGUAGCAAACAGGAUUAGAUACCCUGGUAGUCCAUACCGUAAACGAUGAAUGCUAAGUGUUGGAGGGUUUCCGCCCUUCAGUGCUGCAGCUAACGCAUUAAGCAUUCCGCCUGGGGAGUACGGCCGCAAGGCUGAAACUCAAAGGAAUUGACGGGGGCCCGCACAAGCGGUGGAGCAUGUGGUUUAAUUCGAAGCUACGCGAAGAACCUUACCAGGUCUUGACAUACUAUGCAAAUCUAAGAGAUUAGACGUUCCCUUCGGGGACAUGGAUACAGGUGGUGCAUGGUUGUCGUCAGCUCGUGUCGUGAGAUGUUGGGUUAAGUCCCGCAACGAGCGCAACCCUUAUUAUCAGUUGCCAGCAUUAAGUUGGGCACUCUGGUGAGACUGCCGGUGACAAACCGGAGGAAGGUGGGGAUGACGUCAAAUCAUCAUGCCCCUUAUGACCUGGGCUACACACGUGCUACAAUGGAUGGUACAACGAGUUGCGAACUCGCGAGAGUAAGCUAAUCUCUUAAAGCCAUUCUCAGUUCGGAUUGUAGGCUGCAACUCGCCUACAUGAAGUCGGAAUCGCUAGUAAUCGCGGAUCAGCAUGCCGCGGUGAAUACGUUCCCGGGCCUUGUACACACCGCCCGUCACACCAUGAGAGUUUGUAACACCCAAAGUCGGUGGGGUAACCUUUUAGGAACCAGCCGCCUAAGGUGGGACAGAUGAUUAC